CAGCCCCAACGGUGACGGUGCCAAAUAGCAUUGGCCUCGCCAACUUCACAGGCAGCAGCAGCCAACCUCGCCGGAGCCAUUCACGAAUGUGCGAGCUCUGAUUUUGAGCUGAAUCCCAGAACGAAGGAAAGGAGCCCGGUAUAAGGCGUCGAUCGAGAGAAACUAGGGCUCCAUCCGUGAGCAGAGGAAGGACUUUAGCGGUGUUGCGAUUUCCGACCUAGGGAGAUGCGGCGUCGUCAUGCCAGGGCGGCGACCAACGAUUUCAGACAGAGAAGCUAGGGCUCGACUUCUUCCCUUCAAUUGCGCGCUUCCAGUGAGGGAUUAGAGAGGGAAACCGAGACGAAGAGAAAAAAAGGAAAAGGACGGCGAUCCUCGGAGCACCAGCAACGAUGGGCGGGCUCUAGGUCGCGCAGCUCGCCGGUCUCCC
rnacentral:lncRNA from 1 species